GUGAUGAAUGAAGGGGAUUCAAGCCUUGCCACCGAGUUACAGGAAGAUGUAGAGGAAAAUCCUAGUCCAACUGUGGAAGAGAAUAAUGUGGUAGUUAAAAAACAGGGGCCAAAUUUACAUAAUUGGAGUGGUGACUGGAGCUUUUGGAAUGCACUGUUGUCUGGUUCGAUGGAAUGGAAUUAAUCUGCUUCAGUUUCCUUGUGUGAAAACUACACCACGGAAGUGGAUUCCACUUACACUGUAGCUCACUGUAUUGUCAAGAGACUAAUGUUAUAUAGAAACCAUAUUUC
rnacentral:sRNA from 1 species